rnacentral:rRNA from 1 species
GGCUCUUUGUUAUUGGUAAACAUAAAGAGUCGGGCCUGCCCGGUGAUAUUUUAACGGCUGCAACGAGAGUUGUGCUAAGGUAGCGUGGUAAGUUGUCUCUUAAUUGGAGAAUGGUAUGAAUGGUUUGACGUGGAAAAACUGUCUUUGAGGAAUAGCGCAAAGUUUCCUUUUAAGUGAAAAGGCUUAUAUUUUUGUAAAAGACGAGAAGACCCUGUCGAGCUUAAUUAGAAUUGUUUGUUUAUAACAAUUUGGAAUUUUUGUUGGGGCAACAUAGGUCAAAAUAACAGUUUAAUUUAUAAGCAAAGAUCCUUUAUUGAAAGAAAGUAGCAAAAGCUACCGCAGGGAUAACAGCGUUAUCUUUCUUAAGAGAUCAAAUUGAGAGAACGGUUUGCGACCUCGAUGUUGGAUUAUGGAAACUUUUUGGUGCAGCUAUAAUGGUGAGACUGUUCGUCUUGUAUCCUA